AAAAUCCUCUGUGUUCAGGGCUGGCCCGGUGGCGCAGCAGUUAAGCUGGCACGUUCUGCUUCUCGGCGGCCUGGGGUUUGCCGGCCUGGAUCCCGGGUGCAGACAUGGCACCACUUGGCAAAAGCCAUGCUGUGAAAUUAUUCACUGAAAUAGAGCCAAGGAGAGGAGGAUGAAGACACAGAGGUAAGAGCUGGGUCACUCAGCCAGCCCUGGCUUCGAGGGGAGUAUGAGAAGAUUGGAAGAAUGAAUAAAUACUCAUGAUGAAGUCUUAACAGAAUGGGGACUGCUAAAUUAGAUGGUUUAACUGAGUUUGAUCCUAUAAAAACAACCUCAGAUAUUGGAUGUCUUGGAGUCGAGGGCACCCUGAAGAGAGGAGACCACACUGAAGUCACCAAAGAGCAAGGCACCAAGCCUCAUUCUUUACUUCUGUACAUUUGAGGAAUGGUCCAUCUAACAGCCCCUGUCUUCUACCUGCUGCAGUGCCAUGAACGGCCUGGAGACCACUACCAGAGAUGCUGAAAUGGCCCAUGUCCUCGUUAUGGAUAAGCCAAUAUACAACUGCAUAGAAAAAAGCUUCAUGGCUCCUGUUCUACAUGAGGUGCCACAGGAAAGGCUUUCUCAAGAAACAAUACUAGUUGGAUGGAACACUCACCUGGCAUGGAGUCAUCCCCAUUUUCUGCAUGGCGGUGGAGCGUGGGAACUGCAUCUAUUCAACGUGUCUCUUACACGCUGCCUCAGCAUGCUCUAGGAUCUCUAACUGAAUUUGUCAACAAGAGAGAGUAAAAACUGGAAGAAGACUAUGCUUUUAAAUGCUAAAGACAUUUUCCGCAAUUUUCUCACCAGAACUUUUGAACCUUCCCUAGAAUGUUCUGGAGCUGCAUUCUUAGACCUCCCCAUUGCCUCCACUUUCAUUUCACCCCAAGAGCUGUUAGUUAAUAAAAACGGACCUCUAGAGCAGAUCUUCUCAGACUUUAUAUGCAUAAAAAUACGUAUACAAAUGCCUUGGGGAUCUUGAAAAAAUGUAAUUUCUGAUUCAACAGGUCUAGGGUAGGACCUGAAGUUGUAUAUUUUGAAUAAGCACUGGGUAAUGCAGAUGCUGCUGGCCCAUGGACCACCCUUUGAAUAGCAUAACUCUAGAUCUGCUUUCAAGGAAAUAAAAUGGAAUUAACAUUUGUAAGUCACAACUUGAGUUAAAAAGCUCCAGGUAAUUUAAAGAUAUUGUUUUACCCAAUUUUCUUAAGAACCUACAAAAUGUGUAUUAUGUCCAGUUUACAGAGAAAACCAAAACUUACUUAGAUAUUUUAAUUUACUCCAUAUCACCUAGUUAAAAAUCACAAAACUAGAAUUGGAUCCCAGUUUCUGUGACCCCAAAAGUCUUCACCCUUCUGACAGACCAAACUGCCUCUUAGCACUGAUGUCACUCUGAGUGCGCUGACCUGCCGGGGUUUUCUAGUUCGUCAGAGCAUCCCAGGGAUGACUAAGCCAGCGUUUGAACCCCCUUUGCACCCAAACGUCAAUACUAUGAUAGCACAGUGAUUUUUACAAAGCCAUAAAUACAGAGGAACAAAGAGAAUAGAAUGGGAAAUCUUUGGAAUACAGGAAAGCAGACAGGCAGGUGGUAACUGCGCUGACAACCAGACAGCCGGGUCUAGGAGGCUGUGGGAGGAGCCGGAAGUCAGCUGACGGCACCGUGGGUGAUUCCUGAGUCUCUGAAAAGGCCGUCUUGAGAGUUUACACCCUUCGCCAGAAGGACGAAGUGCUAGAAUUUUUAGAGUGGCUCAGGGCCUCAACAAGCAGGGAAGAGGUUAAGCUGUAAAU
rnacentral:lncRNA from 1 species